UUCGGCAGUGGAGAUCAAUAUCGUCUGGCUGCCACUGCCAGGCAGGAGGCACAGACGAUGAGAUCCGGACUUCACACAAGUUCACUACACAUGAACUGUGAGACGAAUCAACCCUGCUUUGCUGAGGCAGGAAGGGGAAUAAACCCUGCUUUGCUUGUGGCCCGGGGACGCUCUGAGAGCCGGCGAUUUGGGUUGGAUUGUGCAGCUGGACUGCUCCGGUCGCCGUUGAAGGACGCGAGCUGCUGCGACGAGGCUUUGGGCUGCCCAAGGACACGCCGCGGCGCCCGUGAUGGCGUAGGUAGCAGGCAAAGUUGAGGUUGCCGUUGGGCUUGCCGUCGGGGUCGAGCAGCUGAUGGCUCACUUGGAUGCCAUUAUAAUUUUCACCGGUUGGAGAUAUGUCAUUACAAAAUGUUGACUUGAAGAAAUGCCACUCUAACUUUUUAUACCUUUAUUCAUGCCAUUGUCCAAUACAAUCACAUAUAUUGUCUAAAUACGUAUAUACAUAGCUCUAUACGAACA